GAUUUACCUGUGUUUGAGUACCUGCUCUGUGGUAGGUAUCUAGAUUAGGGUCAAUUUCAAUCUCUUGACAUUAAGCACAUCCUAACUUGUAAGAAACUAUUCCUACAAUUCAUAUUGG
ensembl:misc_RNA